rnacentral:rRNA from 1 species
AUACGGAGGGUGCAAGCGCUACUCGGAAUCACUGGGCGUAAAGCGCGCGCAGGCGGCUAUUUAAGUUGGAUGUGAAAGCCUACGGCUCAACCGUAGAACUGCAUCCAAAACUAUUUAGCUAGAGUGUGAGAGAGGAAGAUGGAAUUAGUUGUGUAGGGGUAAAAUCCGUAGAGAUAACUAGGAAUACCAAAAGCGAAGGCAAUCUUCUGGAACACUACUGACGCUGAGGCGCGAAAGCGUGGGGAGCAAACAGAAUUAGAAACCCUAGUAGUCC